CUUGUGUGUGUGUGUGUGUGCGCGUGUGUGUGUGUGUGAUCCAGGGAGAAUCAUGGCGUAUUGAAAACCUGUGUUGUACUGACCCCUGAGGAGAAAUCAUAAGAGAAGGCUCAACAUUCUGAUGCUUCUCCUCUUCAACACCCGUCUCCUCCUCUUCCUCUCCGUUUUAGGAAAGUGUUUGUCAUUCUCUGAGUAUCUUUGUAUAUUGUGGCAUGACACAGAAGUAAAGUUGUGUAGGGCUUUGUGGAGCUGUAGAAAUGGGGAGGACGCCCGUGCGCAGGGCCUCUGUGAGCCGGGCGGGGUUUGGUGGUGAUUAUCCAGGUCCUUGUUGAAUUGACUUAUUAACUUUGCCUAUUGCUUGUGUUGAACUAUAUUAGGUGUUUGACUUGCGUAGGGAUAGUUAGUUUUUUUUUGUUGCGGGUGGUGACUCCUAUCAUAAUGUAUUGUUUAAUACUUAUAUAACACACUAGUUAAAAGACUAAUUGUCCUGUAAAGAUGGAGGAGAAUUAAUAGAUAUUUGUCUGUGGGAUGACUCCCCACCUGCACCCCAUUCUUAUGCAAAUGUGUCCAUCAAAGAUGAUUUACGUUGUCAGACAGAAGUGCUCUUUGUUUCAGCCAUUCAACACUGUCGCAUUUACUUUUUCAUGCUGUUGAUGGUUGUUGUUUUCCAAAAUGGUGGGACCAAAAUCUAAUGUAUCUACAAGUUUAGUUUCAUAUAUAUACCCUCCAAAAAAACAAGGAAAUCCUCCUCAGACUGGGUUUGGUGAUAACCAGUUUUCACUGAGGUUAAGUGAGAAAAAAAAAAAAUAAUAAUAAUGUUCCUCAAAGUGUCAAACUCCAGAGUGGCAGUCUCGGAGUAGUUCAAAAUGAAAUUUGGGCACAGGUUUCUUAUUAUAAGUUUUGUUAUUCAGUUAAAAAGCUUCAGUUCUGGUUUAACCCUGGAGAGGUUCACACGCUUGUUUGCGCCCGUGCGGAGGAGGCGUUACCAGAGCCAUUGACAGUUUACUGUAAAAUUUCAUGAUGGUACACUGGCAUGUGUUUUCAGCGCAGGCUUGAAGCUUGAUGCAUGUUUGUAACACGCAUUCAUUGCAUUUCAGUUUGUAUUAUGUGUUAUUUCUGGAAGUAAACCAAAAUCAGAAUCUUACUUUAUCACCAUUAAAAUGGGCUAUUUCUUCUUGUUUGGAGAGAAAUUGAUUCUAAUUAAAAAUGGAAUUAAUAAUCCCUUUAUAUUUUUUUUUAAACGAUAUGAGGUGUCUUGCCAGAGAGUUAACCUUCGUUUGAGAAUGAACAUAGGUUGGUAAAACUAGCAUGUCACAGUUUUUUCGACAUGGUAUAAAAAAUGUAUUUGUUGAACAGCCUAGUUAAAAUGUCUAUGUUGGUGUAGAUCUUAGGACUACAUGAUGUCACAGUCAUUUGUCAUUUGCAACAACAAAAAACAAACCACUGUCCAGCCUGGGUCAUCUGGAUUUAUCAAUGUAUUAUGUCAUUUUUUUUUUUUUUAUUAUUUGAGACACAUAUAUUUGAUGCCUAUAAUUUGUUUUAAUGUUUUUUAUUUUUGUCUUUUAAGCCCUAUCUCCAAGAUACAAGCUGAGAUAUCCCUGACUUUUUAAAGCAAAAAAAAUUAAUAAAUGUGCUUCCCUUGUAACUUGAAGAAAGAAAUAAACACAAAAAAAUAAUA